GCUGCCACAAAAUGAACUAUCAUUUUCUGCCACAAUGGGCUAAAACCCUAAACCCAUGAGCUAACAUAAAUUUUCCCCCUAAGUUGUUCUCUCAAGUAUUGCGGAUACAGUGAUGGGAAGGCUAACGCAUACAGGCUGUGCUAUGGUUCAGCUCUGACAUGUCCCACCAACUGAGUGGGGAGGUUAGUGCCCUGGUUGGCAGUGUUAUUUCCACGGUGGUAGGAGCUUUGGGGGAUGGGGUUUACUGUAAGAAUUAGACCACUGUGGGUGUGUCUCUGAUCACUUCCUGACUUUCUUCUGACUCUUCCUGUUGGCUCUCAUGAGAUGAGUAGCUAUGAUUCACCACACACUUCCACCAUGAUGCUCUGCCUCAUUACAGGCCCAGGGAAAAAAAAAAGAGAAGCAGAAAUCCUGGACUGAAACUGCUAAAACUGGGAGGCAAAAUACAUCUGUCUUCCUUUAAACAGUUUCUCCCAGUACUGUGACACCGUUGAAGUCUAACAGAGGCUGGGGACACCAGGGUCAUUGUGUAGCAAGCCCGGGUCACUAGUGGAAAAGUGUGGGUAGCCUACCAGGAUUAUCAGACCCAUGAAGUGACCAGGACUAUAGGAGGCACAGACUCAAUGCCUCUUGGUGGCCAUGAAGCCUUGGAGGAGUCCCAUGAAGAUGAAAACACCGAGCCUCCAUUAUCUCACUUGCAGAAUAAGAUGAGCAUGCUUCACAGGUGUUAAAGACAAGAGCCUGGCCCGUAGCAUAUGCCGGAUCAAAACCAGAGAACAAAAGCGAUUGUGAAAGAAAGGACUGGAAACAGUAGCCACUUUGAUGCAGGCAAGUCUUUGAGGGAUGGUGCCCCCAGCAGUGAGGAGAAGAAGCUGCCAGAAGGGGGUUCCCCAACUUCUGGGCUUCCACAGAUGCCAUAGAUGAAGAGACCCAUAAUCAUGGCAAGGCCCCUCCUCUGAAAGGCCCUUCAUCCUGCACCAUAUGAGAGCCCCUUUCUAAGCCUGGACAAUUAGUCAUCAUCCCCAGCACUCCCUCUAGCCCCUGAAGGGAUGCAUGUGCUCGGAAGAGCACACCAAUGUGCAUCUUUGGAAAGAUCUGGAUUCCUUUCUUCUCCCUCUGAGCUGUCACUUGUUGUAAAAACAAUCAUUGAUAUUCAGCCAUUAUGCUUCCAUAAUCAUUAAUAUUCUUAAAAGGCUCCUGGAAACACAUUUAUACAAGGCUACAUGAUCAGUUCCUGCGUUUACUUUCAAUUUAAAUAAUAGUUUUAGCCAGGGUUUUGAUGUGUUGUUUGCUUUUAUUACUGUUCUGCCCCUAUCUGUAUCUUGACACAGUGUCGUUUAAUAUUUUAUGAAUUUCCCCUUGUCCCCUUUCCCUCACACAUGUGGUUCUAAGGAGCUGAUGGUACAAUUUUUUUUUUUAAACUUGCACUUUUAACUUUCCUUAGGCUUGCUGUAAACAAGCUGUGGCAUGUCUCUGGUUCCCCCCCCCCAAACCCCCAGCAAUAAUGGGAGGGGCUAAAUAAACCAACAGAGCUGCUUUGCUAAACUGGCACAGGGAAGCUAAUGUGUUUUGGCUCUGCUGGAGACUCAGAGUGACAGGACAGUGACUUCAGGCCAGAUGUGACACAACUUGGAAUAAAUCAGAGUCCACCUCUCAAAAUGAGGUUCAUAGCAUGAUAUUACUAGAUACCCGUGUUCAGGGAUCACUGGGUCAGCAUCUGCAUUUUAGUGAGCUCCUCAUGUGAUUUGUUUGACCACUGAAGUCUGAGAAGCAGUGCACUAAAGGAUCAAGUAGUGUGAAGCAACUAGAUGUCCUAUGUAGACCAAUCUCCUAUUGAACUUGAAGUGCCUCAGUUUCCUAAGUACUGGGGUGACAGGUAUUCCACACUGUGUCUUCCUCCUCCUUCUCCUGCUUCUGCUCCCCUUUCCCCUUCUUCCUGCAGUGUCUCCCUAUGUAGCUCAGAUUGACCUAGAACUCAAGACAAUUCUCCUGCCUUCAUCUCCCGACUACUGUGGUCUUGAGGCCAUUUUAGAUACUGUGAUCACUGUCUGCCCCCAACAUGUCCCCCACUCCAUGUUUUAGUUCAUCUACUCAUUCAAUGAAGAAACCUCAUACCUGGUACCACGGGGCAGGUAGAGAGAAGGCAGUAUGGUUACAUGCAAAAACCAGAGAUGUGUCAAAAUGCUGAAGCCAUGCAGCUGUGGACAAUAACGGGUAGGUCAGAGACGUUUUCGUUGGAAAGGUGACCUUUGACCUGCCUGUUGGAGGAUGAAAAAGAGUUCCUGUAGUCGUUACUAUUCUGUUGCCAUGACAAAACACCACCACCAAGGCCACUUAGAGAAGGAACGGUUCAUUUGGGCUUGGGGUUCCAGGAGGAUGAGAAGUCACCGCCAUCAUGAUGGGGAGGCUCGGCAGCACGCAGCAGAUGCGGUGGGAGGAGCAGGAAGCCGGCAGCUCAGACUACGAACCAAACGCAUGAAGCAGAGAACAAGCUCGAAGUAGGGCAAGGCCCUCAGUCUCAAAGCCCCUCUCCUGCCAGCCACACACUUCCCCCAACAAGGCCACACUUCCGAACCCUUCCCAAACGGCUCCACUCACUGAGGGCCAAGCGUUCAAACACAUGAGCCAGUGAGGGACAUUCUUAUUCCAGCCAGCACAGUUUGCUUGAGAAGGACAGUGUUAAGUGGGGCUGGAUGGGGAUUGUGGCUGGAAUGCGGUUGUCUUCUGAUCUGGUUCUGCCUGGCUGUGGUGGGGGCAGGGCCAACAUGCCCUGGCUGGUGUGUUUUCGGUGCCUGUCAUGGGGGCCUUCAUGGUGGACAUUAGCAGGGGAAAGCUUCCCAGGGGGUCACAGUUGGCUCCUGCAGGAUAGAGGAGUGUAUCCUGUAGCCUGGGUGCUGGCCGCUCUGCAGCCUCCCCUAUCCACUCUUGGUUGACACUUAAUAUAGAAACGCAGCCUGUAACUGGUGGCAGAUCAAUACCCCACUGAAGAAUAAAACCUCUCUUGGGGCAGGCCAGAGCAGGGAUGCGAUCUUAGGAACAUGCACUGGGGAGCCGGGCCUUAUUGCCUCAGGUAGCUUUGGAAGUAGCAGGCAGCUGUCAGGCCCGAGAAACGGGAACCUGGGAGUAGCAGAAAUCGAAACCUGUAACUCAGACUUAAGGACAGAUAUUAUUUCCUUGUCUUUUUCUGUAUGAGCUGAAGUCAAUUGCCGUUUAGGUAGAGCCAAAGAGAAAAGAAGACAUGAACUUGUUGCAAGGGAACCAGUCUAACUAAAAAUUCCUUUCUUAUCACUUCUUCCUGAUCUGUGGCAUUUUAUCACGGACAACGGAGGAAUGGGUCAUCUUAACUUAAUGGCAGAAGAAAGAGGAAUCAUUCCUGCUAUGAAGAUGUCAUAUAAAUACCUGAGUAUUUAUGGGAUCUUGACUUGGCUUGGUGAUGUGGCUGUGCUCUGAAUUGGUCCUACCAAUUUUCUUUGCAUUUGGCAGUCCUCAUGAGCCCUGAUGUAGCUCGAGGAGUCUUAAAAAACUGCCUAGCAUAGUGCCCAGCACAAAGUACAUGUUCCAGGCAUCCAUUAGUCCCUCUCUUUGCAUAGGGAUCGCUGCUGGAAACCUUGCAUUUGUGUGGAUUCAGUCUCAAGAGGGAUGGUGGAGAGAGCAGAUGGCCAGGGUGUACUUCCAUCCAAUUCAUGGCAAUCCCAGCACCGUAGAUGGGGCAUUAUUCAGCAUGCCAGAAGUUUUACACACAUUCCCUCAUUGAGUCCUCCCAUCAAGUAGGCACAGCCGGCAUUAUGGUCUCCGCUUUGCAGAUAAGCAAACUGAGGCUCGGAGAGAUGAAACAACUCGACCCGUUACAUAAAACUGAAAUGUAAAUGCCAGAGUUGGCACUUGUGACGGUGGCAGAUGACUCAACCCCAGCUGUUCUGGGCUGUUCUGGGUGCACAUACCACUUUCCAACUGCAAAACCUGAGAGCAAAGAUGAUCCCCUAAGGAUCCUCUGGGCCACAGGUUCUCAAAUAUGCAAGUUUGCCUCAAGAGAGUUUGACAGUGUGAGAAGAUACUUAGGUUGUCACCACUGGGAACAGAGAGAGGAGCACCUGCUACUGGCUUCUGGUGAGAUGCCGAAGAUGGUGUGGAGCAUCCUGCAAAGCACAGGACAGUCUCUAUACUAAUGCCACAGUGCUGAGGUCUACGCCGAUUGCCUGACUCUGUAGAGGAGAAAACUGAGGUAGAGUUCAGAGUCACGCUUGCUACCAGGGCAGAGCCUGCUAGGGACCAUCACACUCUCCCUAAAGCCAAUGAGGAGGACUUCAGAUGAUAUACCCUUGUCUGGUGCCAGUGCGCAUCAAGUCUAGUCAUCUAGCCAUCCUGGGAGCCAGAAAUUUGUCACAUCAGACAGCAUUAUCUUCAGAGCAGCACUCCAUAUGGAUUUUAGGGUGUGAAAGCUGAGGUUAUCUCAGUGUAUUUCCUAAUUGUCUCUAUGGAAACCAGAUAGUAUGCUUAGUGAGAUGUGCUUCUCAAAGGAAAAGUAGAAGCUUCCCCUGGUGGAUCUGGCCUUAAGGACACCGGUGGCUAUCUGCCUGCUGUGCUGGGGCUCAGGUCUUGGGGAAAGGGGUAGGGAUGCACCUUCAGUGCAGAGCAUGGCAUGCCAUUAGCAUCUAGAGCCAAAGUUCAGAGCAAGUUCUGGUCACUCACUGUGAGCUAAGUGAGGGAAGAACAGAGACAGCUGGCCCUCUACAGCCAGUUGUCCAGUGCCCUGUACCACUGUGCAGGCAGUUUGUGAAAUCCUGGGGACCAGGACAGCAUCAAGAAGAGAGAGAAGGCCACUGGAUCACAUAUGGAUUCUUGAUACUGUCUCUGGGUCUCCGUUUCCCUACUGGUCCAGUGAUGACUGUAGUUCUAGUAUCUGGAGAAAUUAGUUCAUUGUAAAAGGAGCCUGGUGCCAAGAGCAAGGACCCAUGAACCCCAUCAUGUUUUAGUUUCUCCGUGGACUAUUUGAGGACAUCUUCAGACAUGGUACAGAUUCAGAACAUUAGUCCAAGGCAAGACAUUUUACUAAUGCAAAUUUGGGUGCUAUAUCCACAGAUUUGACCAAACACAAUAAAAUAUAUUUAUUUCUUAAAAUAUUGUACCCAUGCGUGUACUUACAAUACAUUUAUAAUUGUGUGAAAUACUGUAGAGAAUUUAGAGAUACAUUUAAAGUAGAUGCAAGGAACAGUCCUGUAAAUG